UUGGAGGGCAAGUCUGGUGCCAGCAGCCGCGGUAAUUCCAGCUCCAAUAGCGUAUAUUAAAGUUGUUGCAGUUAAAAAGCUCGUAGUUGAAUUUCGGGGCCAGUAGGUCGGUCGUGCCACUGGUAUGAACUGGUCUCACUGGUCCCUCCCUCUUGAAGAACCGUGAUGCCAUUAAUUUGGUGUUGCGGGGAAACAGGACUGUUACUUUGAAAAAAUUAGAGUGCUUAAAGCAGGCUUACGCUUGAAUACAUUAGCAUGGAAUAACGAAAUAGGACGAUCGAUUCUAUUUUGUUGGUUUCUAGGGUCGACGUAAUGAUUAAUAGGGAUAGUUGGGGGCAUUAGUAUUCAAUUGUCAGAGGUGAAAUUCUUGGAUUUAUUGAAGACUAACUACUGCGAAAGCAAUUUGCCAAGGAUGUUUUCAUUAAUCAAGAACGAAAGUUAGGGGAUCGAAGACGAUCAGAUACCGUCGUAGUCUUAACCAUAAACUAUGCCGACUAGGGAUCGGAUGAAGUUAAUUUUUUAAUGACUCAUUCGGCGCCUUACGGGAAAC
rnacentral:rRNA from 1 species